GAUGAACGCUGGCGGCGUGCCUAAUACAUGCAAGUCGAGCGAACAGACGAGGAGCUUGCUCCUCUGACGUUAGCGGCGGACGGGUGAGUAACACGUGGAUAACCUACCUAUAAGACUGGGAUAACUUCGGGAAACCGGAGCUAAUACCGGAUAAUAUAUUGAACCGCAUGGUUCAAUAGUGAAAGACGGUUUUGCUGUCACAUUUAGAUGGAUCCGCGCCGCAUUAGCUAGUUGGUAAGGUAACGGCUUACCAAGGCGACGAUGCGUAGCCGACCUGAGAGGGUGAUCGGCCACACUGGAACUGAGACACGGUCCAGACUCCUACGGGAGGCAGCAGUAGGGAAUCUUCCGCAAUGGGCGAAAGCCUGACGGAGCAACGCCGCGUGAGUGAUGAAGGUCUUCGGAUCGUAAAACUCUGUUAUUAGGGAAGAACAAAUGUGUAAGUAACUAUGCACGUCUUGACGGUACCUAAUCAGAAAGCCACGGCUAACUACGUG
rnacentral:rRNA from 1 species